UACGGGGGGAGCAAGCGUUGUUCGGAUUUACUGGGCGUAAAGGGCGCGUAGGCGGCCACCGCAAGUCGACUGUGAAAUCUCCGGGCUUAACCCGGAAAGGUCAGCCGAUACUGCGGGGCUAGAGUGCAGAAGGGGCAACUGGAAUUCUCGGUGUAGCGGUGAAAUGCGCAGAUAUCAGGAGGAACACCGGUGGCGAAGGCGGGUCUCUGGGCCGAAAUUGACGCUGAGGAGCGAAAGCGUGGGGAGCGAACAGG
rnacentral:rRNA from 1 species